rnacentral:rRNA from 1 species
GACGAACGCUGGCGGCGCGCUUAACACAUGCAAGUCGAACGGAAAGGCCUGCUUUCCCUUGUGGAUUGCGGGUACUCGAGUGGCGAACGGGUGAGUAACACGUGAGUGAUCUGCCCCCAACUUGGGUAUAAGCCUGGGAAACUGGGUCUAAUUCCCGAUAGGACUGCAGGGUGGUGCCUGUGGUGGAAAACGAUUUUCUAGUGGUUGGGGAUGAGCUCGCGGCCUAUCAGCUUGUUGGUGGGGUAAUGGCCUACCAAGGCGGCGACGGGUAGCCGGCCUGAGGGUGGACGGCCACAUUGGGACUGAGAUACGGCCCAGACUCCUACGGGAGGCAGCAGUGGGGAAUAUUGCACAAUGGGCGGAAGCCUGAUGCAGCGACGCCGCGUGGGGGAUGACGGCCUUCGGGUUGUAAACUCCUUUCGACCGCGAGGAAGCCACCUGGUUGGAAGGGUGGUGACGGUAGUGGUAGAAGAAGCACCGGCUAACUACGUG